UACGUAGGGUGCGAGCGUUAAUCGGAAUUACUGGGCGUAAAGCGUGCGCAGGCGGUUCGUGAUGUCUGAUGUGAAAGCCCCGGGCUCAACCUGGGAAUUGCAUUGGAAACUAGCGGGCUGGAGUGUGGCAGAGGGGGGUGGAAUUCCACGUGUAGCAGUGAAAUGCGUAGAGAUGUGGAGGAACACCGAUGGCGAAGGCAGCCCCCUGGGAUGACACUGACGCUCAUACACGAAAGCGUGGGGAGCAAACAGG
rnacentral:rRNA from 1 species